rnacentral:misc_RNA from 1 species
ACGCAUGACUAUGAUGUCAAGAUGCGUAACGUCAUGAGAUUCCUGCAAAAUGGCGACAAGGUCAAGGUCACGCUGAGGUUCCGCGGCCGCGAGAUGGCGCACCAGGAUCUGGGCCGCGACCUGCUGGAGCGGGUGGCCGAGGAUGUCAAGGAUGUCGGCAAGGUCGAGAACAUGCCGAAGAUGGAAGGCCGCCAGAUGAUCAUGGUGAUCGGUCCCCAAUCGCGGUAAUCGGCACGCCCUUGCCUGUGUAGGAUUCGUACGAAUCCUACACGCGAUUGGGACGGAACACGGCCCC